rnacentral:rRNA from 1 species
UCUGGUUGAUCCUGCCAGUAGUCAUAUGCUUGUUUCAAGGAUUAAGCCAUGCAAGCCCAAGAGUAAACGAGUCCACAGUGGGUCUGCGUACGGCUCAUUAAAACAGCAAUAAUCUACCCGGCAAAGCGAGGUCUCGGCCUCGUCAAUUGGAUAACUUUGGGAAAUCCAAAGCUAAUACAUGUAUGAAGAAUCCUGCCGCAUCAACCCGAUGCUGGGGCAACCUGGCGUGGGGCGGCUGGGAUGGGGUUGGCCGACAGAGGAACCAGCGCCCGCAAGGGCAGUUGGUAUCGGUGAUUCAGGCCAACGUCCUGAUAGCGCACACGAAAGUGGCGCGAGGCCGGACGAAUUGCUGACCUAUCAGCUUUCGAUGGUAGAGUAGUGGUCUACCAUGGCGGCAACGGGUAACGGAGAAUCAGGGUUCGAUUCCGGAGAGGGAGCCUGAGAAACGGCUACCACGACCACGGUUGGCAGCAGGCGCGCAAAUUACCCAAUCCCUAAUGGGGGAGGUAGCGACGAAAAAUAACAGCGGGGCCCCUAUGGGGUCUCAGUUGUAAUGGAUGAUAUUCAAACCCAUCAAUGAGUAUCAAUUGGAGGGCAAGUCUGGUGCCAGCAGCCGCGGUAAUUCCAGCUCCAAUAGCGUAUAUUAAUGCUGCUGCUGUUAAAAAGCUCGUAGUUGGAUUCGGAGCGCGGACGGUGAGUGGCCUCCAGCGGGGUCUGGCUCUCGGGGUUCCGUCCCCGAGUGUCUGCACCCCCUGGGCGGAUCAACCGCUUACGCAGGUCCCCGCUCUUUGCACACGGGAACGAUCGCCCCGCCUCCUCGUCUUAUUCACUUAAGGUGGGAGGCGCUCCCGCGCCAAACACGCGCGUAAGGGGUCGCCCGUGGACGUUACUGUGAACAAAACCUCGUGAUCAAGGCAGUCGCUGUGACUGAUGGACUAAGCAUGGGAUAACAAGGGAUCGACCGCUCGGCCGGACUCUUGCUGGUUCCUUCCCCUAAGCGGGCAACGGCGGACUUCCGCCGCUUGGGUGUUUCGCUCCGGUCUCCGGACGCCCCAGGCGGCGGUUGCUCCCAAUCGGGAUUAAUGGGGGCUGUCGGGGGGAUACGUAUUCUCCGGUCAGAGGUGAAAUUCUAUGACCCGGGGAGGACGAACUACUGCGAAGGCAUUUCCCAAGAAUGCCUCCGUCAAUCAAGAACGAGAGUGUGGGGAUCGAAGAUGAUCAGAUACCGUCGUAGUCCACCACUGUAAACGAUGCCGACUCGGCAUCGGGAGCCGUCGCUCGACGACGCUCCCGGCACCACCUCCCCUUAUGGCGAGAAAUCUAAGUCUAUGGGUUCAGGGGGGAGUAUAUUCGCAAGGCUGAAACUUAAAGGAAUUGACGGAAUGACACCACCAGGCGUGGAGUAUGCGGCUUAAUUUGACCCAACACGGGAAACUUUACCAGGUCAGGACGUGGUAAGGAUUGACAGAUUGAUAGCUCUUUCAUGAUUCCAUGGAGGGUGGUGCAUGGCCGUUCCUGGUUGGUGGAGUGAUUUGUCUGGUUGAUUCCGUUAACGAACGAGAUCUCCGCCACUAACUAGUGCC